rnacentral:rRNA from 1 species
UACGGGGGGGGCAAGCGUUGUUCGGAAUUACUGGGCGUAAAGGGCUCGUAGGUGGCCAACUAAGUCGGACGUGAAAUCCCUCGGCUUAACCGGGGAACUGCGUCCGAUACUGGCAGGCUUGAAUUCGGGAGAGGGAUGCGGAAUUCCAGGUGUAGCGGUGAAAUGCGUAGAUAUCUGGAGGAACACCGGUGGCGAAGGCGGCAUCCUGGACCGAGAUUGACGCUGAGGCGCGAAAGCUAGGGGAGCAAACGGG